AUGGUCAUCUUGGCCCAGGGCCAUCAGCCCCCAGCCACCCCACAUCAGGCCUAGUGUAACUAGUCCAUAUGGUGCCCCCAUGCACACACAUAGGCAUGGUGAAAGUGAGCAGACUUGUGCAGGGGCACAGCACACCCGGCUGCAGCCCAUCCAUCUAGGGGACAGUAGGGGACACAGGGGAGCACUGUCCUGGCCCACCUCUUCCUCCCACGUGGACUGGGUGUCAGGGAGAUGGGAAGCAGUCACGCCAAGGACAGUCAAGACCCAUCAAGGACUGUGUUCCUUCCCCCAACACACUCAGGGCAGCCCUCUCCUUUUGUGAGACCCAAUCCCCAUCAUCCUUCCGGGCACAGAGGGAGGGGCUCCAGAGGGAGAGGAUGGAGCAGGAGGGAGACUGAGGGCACCGUGCCAAGUACAGGGAAGAGGGUGGAGGCCCCCAAAGGCUGCACUUGAGGUGGGGUGGAAACUCGACCUGGGGGAGGGAGGGAGACCCCACUGGGGCCUUUUCCAGUGAGCAGAGCUGUGCUGACUUCUUGGCAGGUUUAUACCCCAAAGGGGCAUGGACAUGAUGGUUGGCUCAAGGCCCCAAGGCCUGAGGGUACAACAGGGGAGGCUCAGCCUGGCUGAGCGGUCAGACAGGAGACAGAGACUUGGACACAGAGGCCCGUGUGAAGGUGGCCCUAGGCACAGGACCAACUUAGGGGGAAGGCGCUUUCAGUCAUUGCCUGAGAGAGAAAGUGGACUGCUCACAGCCUCAGCUUGCAGACCCGCCCCAGAGACGCGGAAAACAGGCUGACAGUCCAGGCAAGGAACCAGGGCACUCUGGACAACCUGGGUAGGACAUGUCCACCUGCAGCCAGAGCCCCAGUGAUGGAUGUUGCUCAGAUACGGGUCAAAGCCUGAGAAGGAGCCACACACUGAAGACGUCCUCGAUGUACCAUCAGGUGAGAAGGCAGAGCGCCACGAGCCGUAAAGGCCAGCACGCGCCUGUCAGGUGGAGGCACAGACAGCAAGCAGCGGCCUCAGCCACCAAGGUCAGGGGCAAGGACUUCAGGUGUGUGUGUUUUAUGAGCACAUGCCCCUUCAUGAUCAAAAACCAAACCAACCCUUGGUCUGUCCCCGAAGCUCGCCAUCACUGCUAUGGCCUGUCGUCGUGGCCAGGACAGGGCGUUGCAAAACUGGCCUUGGGAGAUGUCCCCAGGAGUGCAGGGCCGUCUGGCUCACUUCAGGAUAACCUAGCAUUUCCCUGGCAUUCCCAGCUGUGUGGCUCCCAGUGCACCCAGUGUUGCCAAGAGGCAGGAGGACAACGUCUGUGCACACGUGUAUAUAGAGGGGGAGGCGGAGGGAGGAAUUAGCUCAGGGCUAACACGUGACGAGUCACACCAGCGGCUUCCAGGGCACAGAGGGCCCUGUCAGCACAACUGAAGCAGCUGAGAACCGUCAGCUGGAUGUGACAGGAGGUGCAGCGUUGUCCCAGGGGACACAGAGUGCCGGGCUGCCUUGGUGCUCUGUCAUCUGUAUGGCGUGGGUGGGGAGCAAGCCCAGGUUCCCUGGCCUCUGCCCCCAGUGUCACCUCUGCGGCUGGGUGACCUCUGAGGAAGCAAUUACGACGCGUCUGUGGAGCUGAGCACAGACCACACAGCAGGACACCCAGGUGACGGGGCAGGGCCGGCUUGCCCAGCGUCACACUCCACCAAGCUGGACGUCUCCAGACCCUGAUCGGAGGGCACCGCUGGCCAUUCCGAUAGCUGCGCUUGGCCCCCAGCAGUGAGCACAGGGCCUCGGGGCCCAAACAUAGCUGCCCCCCACAUGCGAGCAACCCCCAGGCCCUGGAGGUGACCUAUGGCCCGUAGCUGGGGAGAGGAGCUCCACAUGCCCCCAGAGGAAAAAAGUCCAGUCUGCGCCUUCUACUUGGAAAGGAAACGCCAACACAGAAAACUGGGUUUGCAGAGAGGCAGAGAGGCUCUGCCAACAGACCAGCCAUCGUGCCGACCAGGCUCUGGCACAGACAGGCCGCCUUGCGGGACCGGCGCAGGACAGGAGGCCUGGGCGAGUGCUACUACUGUCUCCCCACUUUUCCCUCCAAGCUGGGCCCCGGGCAGGAGCAUCACCCCUCUUGGUGACUGACCCUCAUCCCACUGAGGUGAUGAUGACCACCACCACCACUGCUCCAGAGGCCUGCAGUGCUGACAGCCUGGGAGGGAUGCCUUCUCAGGGAAGAGCUGAAGGUAAGCAGGGGUGACCUUGCCAGAAAGCUGCCCACCGAGGGCUGGCAAUGGGUCUGAAUAGCAUCCGGUCCACAGCCAAGUCAGGCCCCACCACCUCCCCAAGUGCCAGGCUCUCUGUUCACUGCAUCUUCCAGAGCAGGCCUCUCCCCACUUGGCAUGAAAACAACCUCUGAUUUGGAAAGUCAUGCAAGGCCUCACCUGCCUGCUCUCAGAUGUCAGGGUGCUGCCAUCCGCAAGGACUAAAGGCAACGUCAACCCGAAGGAUUACAAACCAUAAUGGACACACGUCAGCCAAGAACUGAGAGCUCCAAGCAAAGCUGACAUCUGCAGGUGGCAGGCCUGCCUGGCUGCCUGGCCUGGUGUCCACCAGACAGCACAUGGGGCUGGGGGUAGCCGAGACACAGUGAAGACAGGAAUCCUCACCAGAAGACGGCAAGCCUACCACUCACCUGCCUUCUGCUCCGAGGGUCCAGCACCCUGAUACCCGGAUGCCAGGGCCCUGGCUCCCCUCCUGUCCCCUGGGGACCACGCUUUUAGGAGGAAGACCACUGUAUCACCCUGGCCCUGCCAGGGUCACCUAGGUCCACUACUCCGUCUGUGCACCAGGCAGGGCCGCCAGCCGCUGCCAACCGAUGUCUACAGAGGGCGCUCUUCUCAAGAGUUUAUCUGGUCUCCAACACAUCAGAUUGUGUGGAACUAACAAGUGUCACAGAUUCAGGUCCCUCCUCUUCCACCCUGUCAUCCGAGCCAGCAUCACUGCUCACCAGGAGGCCGUGAGCCUGGAGGGACACCAGAGGCUCCUUCAGGCGCAGGGGGCCUGAGACCCUCUCCCUGCUCGCCCAGCAGCUCUGCUGGCAGCGCCCAGUCCUGAGCAGUCCAAGCCAUGGCACUUUGGCACUUUCCAGACAGACCGCCAGGCUGAAAAGUUUUUCUUUGGACCCAGCCUGUGGCCAGCGCUGGGUCAGGCGGGGAGAGGGGGUGGGGCGGUGUUCAGACCCGGAAGUGAAGAGCCAGCCCUCCCCUGAGCGCUGCUCUGCCUUCUGGGUCCGGGCCCCAGAGGCCGUGAGCGGGAACUGCCUCCCCAGCCACGGGACAGAACCCCGCCUCUCCGCCACAAUGUCCCCUCCUGCAAAGUCCCCAGAGCCGCGACUGUCCAGGUGCUUAGGCGGGAACUGGAAGAUACCGUGCCCCGCACCACCCAGCAUCACGACCUCUGGCCUCAGCUGGGAGGCCGAGUCUGUAUGGGUCCCGGAACGAAGUGACCACCUGGGAGCAUCCGGCGGGCUAACAGUCCAGCCCGGUGCUCGUAGGCCCGGCGCCGCGUCGGCUCGGGACAGAACGAUCCCCAACACAGGCCCUGCCCGCGGCAGUCCGUGAGGUCCCUCCCCCGCCAGGCCACGGGGACCGUUGGCCGGUCCAGGCCCGGAUCCCUGGGCCGCUCCUCCCACGGAACACGAGGGGCGCGCCGCGCCUACCGGUCCUCGCACGUGGUCUCGCUCUUCCCCUCCGGCCGAUCUGGCCCGUCUCCAGCCGCGAGGGGCGGCGGCGCCGGUCGGGGGGCGUCGGCCGAGGCCGGGGGCGCAGCCAUGAGCUCGGGGGCCUCUCCGCGGGCGGGGUGGGGCGGGGCUUGGGGGACGGCCGCUCAGGCUGUCGGGAGCUAUGGUUCAGGGCCUGGCGCCGCGCGCCCUCCAGCGCGCUCUGCGGACUACAAGUCCCACCAGGCCGCGCGCGCCCCGCAAACUACAAGCCUCACGAGGCCUUGCAGCGGGUGUGCAGGUAAGGACCCCAGCCCACGCUUUACCACAAACUCGUCUACACAAAACCGCUGAAAAAAAAUCAAUAAACAUUUAUUUGAUACAGUUAUUUUUAAUACAUACAGUUGAUGGCCCGCCCCGAGCCACUCCCGGGACCGGGGCGGGGACGAGGACCAGGGACAGAUGGUCACAAGGCGGGCAGGGCCCGAGCUCACCGUCAAAAACAUCUUGCAAAUAAACACUUUGUAGAUAGAAUAUAUAUGUAUAUAUAUGGUUACAAGUGAUAGCUGGAACCUCUCUUUCAAAAUGCACUUAAUACGGAGAACUGGCAUUAAAAAA